rnacentral:rRNA from 1 species
CCUACGGGAGGCUGCAGUGGGGAAUAUUGGACAAUGGGCGAAAGCCUGAUCCAGCCAUGCCGCGUGUGUGAAGAAGGCCUUCGGGUUGUAAAGCACUUUCAGUGGGGAAGAAAGCCUUGGGGCUAAUACCCUCGAGGAAGGACAUCACCCACAGAAGAAGCACCGGCUAACUCCGUGCCAGCAGCCGCGGUAAUACGGAGGGUGCGAGCGUUAAUCGGAAUUACUGGGCGUAAAGCGCGCGUAGGCGGUCUGAUAAGCCGGUUGUGAAAGCCCCGGGAUCAACCUGGGAACGGCAUCCGGAACUGUCAGGCUAGAGUGCAGGAGAGGAAGGUAGAAUUCCCGGUGUAGCGGUGAAAUGCGUAGAGAUCGGGAGGAAUACCAGUGGCGAAGGCGGCCUUCUGGACUGACACUGACGCUGAGGUGCGAAAGCGUGGGUAGCAAACAGGAUUAGAUACCCGAGUAGUC